rnacentral:misc_RNA from 1 species
GUCUUGAAAACACCGAUUUCCUCAGUAAGUCUAAAUUUAUUUCAAUCAGACUUUUCCUUGUUUAUUAAUUGUUGAUUUGAAAAUAGAGACUUGGGUUUUCAUUUAUGAAAUCACUUGUGUCCGUAAUGAGUGAUGUUAGUAGAAAUUUAUAAUCCUCUCUCUAUUAUUUGAUCUAUCCUUUUUGUGUGUUGAUCUAUAUACAUAUAUUUUUUGGUUGAUGAUUUUCCUUCUAGAUGAAUCAAUCUCUAUGAUCUGCAGUGGAAUUUUUUU